UACAGGGGGAGCGAACGUUACUCGGAAUCACUGGGCAUAAAGGGCGCGUAGGCGGUCCUGUAAGUCGGAUGUGAAAGACCUUGGCUCAACCAAGGAAUGGCAUCCGAUACUGCGGGGCUUGAGGCCGAGAGGGGCAAGCGGAACUCCUGGUGGAGCGGUGAAAUGCGUAGAUAUCAGGAGGAACACCGGUGGCGAAGGCGGCUUGCUGGAUCGGUUCUGACGCUGAGGCGCGAAAGCCAGGGGAGCAAACGGG
rnacentral:rRNA from 1 species